rnacentral:rRNA from 1 species
UACGUAGGGGGCAAGCGUUAUCCGGAAUCAUUGGGCGUAAAGGGUGCGUAGGCGGCUUUAUAAGUCAGGGGUGAAAGGCUACGGCUCAACCGUAGUAAGCCUUUGAAACUGUAGAGCUUGAGUGCAGGAGAGGAGAGUGGAAUUCCUAGUGUAGCGGUGAAAUGCGUAGAUAUUAGGAGGAACACCAGUGGCGAAGGCGACUCUCUGGACUGUAACUGACGCUGAGGCACGAAAGCGUGGGGAGCAAACAGG